rnacentral:lncRNA from 1 species
GUAGAAAGGGAAUCAAACGGUCGCAAAAGGUUUAGCUUGCAACCGUUUGCUGACAAACGAAGCCCACAUACACAUAUACUACAGCAGUUAAGUCCGUACUCCUAAACAACAGGGUUCUAUUAGGCCUCGUUUGGUUUCUUUCAUGAAAAGGUUUAGGGUAUCGUAACAUUUUUGUUUAUAUUUAAUAAUUAUUAUUUAAUUAUAAACUAAUAAGGUUUAAAAAAUUCGUC